ensembl:lncRNA
AACCACAUAAUUAAUCAAGGCAGAAUUAGUGUCCUAAAAAUACAGUAAUUUGGAAGAAUUUUCAUGUCAACAUUAUCAAAAGGACAUUUUGACAAUAGAGCCAUACAACUUUUAUAUGUUCUUAUACAGUGCCUUGCGAAAUUAUUCGGGCCCCCUUGAACUUUGCAACCUUUUGCCACAUUUCAGGCUUGGAUGGAGAGCAUUUGUGAACAGCAGUUUUCAGUUCUUUCCACAGAUUCUCGAUUGCAUUGUGUCAAGAAGCAGUGAGGCUUGGCAGGGUUGUGUUUUUAUUAUAAUAAUAAUAAUAAUAAAGAAAAUAAAAAAAUACAAAUUAUAAUAAUACUUUGGCAGUAGGCUUCAUGUUCCAACUCAUUCUAUGUGCGUAUAUAUAUUUUAGCUCAAGAGGUAUGCUUAGGUAUGCAUAAAAAUAUACAUAUUUUUGUGCAUACUGUAGAAUUAAACAUGUUUUGAAUGUGCCCCCUCAGCUAUUUGUGCCCCCUAAGACAUUUGGGGUGCAUGAUGCCGCUGAACCUUUGUAUUGUUAACACAAGCUCACCCAAGACACAGUGAAGACUACUUUUUGACAAGGGAAUUUUCACAGUGUAUGAUUAUGUAUUUGGCUCUGGUACGAGACUUUAUGUGACAGACAAUCACGUUCGUAAACCCAAAGUGACCGUCUACCCAGCGUCCAACCCUGAGUCGAAUGGGAAGAUCACCCUGCUAUGUCUGGCUAGAGACAUGUUUCCAGACUUGGUCAAGAUCUCAUGGGAGAUGGAGGAUGAAUGCGGCCAAACAGUGGAGGUGUCCAAAGCAGAGACGGAACAGCUGGAGCAGAGGGAGGAAGGGCGGACGACCAGUAUGAUCAUCAUUGAUAAAGAGAAUGCGUACAGGAACAAAUACAUCUGUUCUGUGGAGCAUGAAUGGGGCGCUCAAGAUGUUGACAUGCUAAAAGAUCGCUUCUUCUUCAUGUGCAGUCUGAACCUGGCCUCUCUGGUUUAUACAGUGAUGAUAGUGAAGAGCAUGGUGUACUGCUGUGGGCUCUCUCUCCUGCUGCACCACAGGAACAUGGGGAAGUGGACACAACACCUGUAGAAAGGAUACCACCCAGUAUGGAUAAAGAUGUUGUAGGCUGGGAAUAACAUGGAUUUUACAUCCUAUUGAGGUCUAACUUUCAUUUGUAGGCCAAUUUUCUUAUUUUUCAAAACUUUAUAUUUAAGAAGCUAAAAUAUUUUGAACCAUAGAUUUCAUGUCUUCCCAUAACUUCAACUGCCAAUUACGACAUUAAUUGCAGAACAUUUCAUGUAAAUUGUGUUUCCCUGCUGAAAAUUAAAAUGAAGCCUAAUAUUACACUUUUUAUGAUUGUGGGAGCUACCCACUGCAGACACUUGAAUAAAGGUUAAGUUAAGGUUGUGAGAAAAAUAAAAUCUUGAAGGUAGAUCCUUAUGAUUUAAAUGUAGACUAUUUCAUGAAAGUUGCCCUUGAGUAUCUGUCAAAGCUUAAAUAACCUUUUACAAAAUCUGUAUUUGAUUUAUACAAAAAUAUGAACCUAAGUAUUAUAUUUACCGAUACAUUAUUAAAUAUGUAGGGCCAUGAUAUCUAAAAGUCCUAUGUAACAUUAUCCAAUAUAAUAUUUAGUAACUUGUCGUGUGUAAUGAAGUGUUUUUCGCCCCAAUAAAUUUGUUUGUUUUCUAACAUAUUUCAUAUCAUAAUUCAAUUAUUUUGUUCAUGAACAGGAGUAAUAGAAAAUACAUAUUUUAUAUUUUCUUUGAAGAACAAAAAUAAGUGCUUAUUGAGCAGACAAAUUGGUCUAUGAGUGAAUUUAUUAAUUGUUUUUUUUUUACAUUGAUGUUGUUUACAUUGAUAGGUUUGUAUGAAGAGUGACAUUUUCCUUGCUUAACACAUUAAUCAUGUCCUUUCAGAUGGGGAAGGGUUUAAUAAUCACUGCAUGAAAGAAAUGUUACAACAAACAUGGCUCUGCAAAGUAUUCUACAUACUGUAUUGGGCUGUUUUGUAAGAUGAAAUUGUCACCAUAACAGAAAAAAUAAAGGUUACUUAAACCCCCCCCCCAAAAUUGUAUUUAUUUUCUAAAAGAUGAUCUAUUCUUAUUUGUGAAAAGUGUUUUAUUGAAUCUCUUUGAAGCAGAGACAAUAAGAUCAUAUUUUUUUUUCAAUCUUUUUGCUUCUAUCUGCGUGUUAAGAUGCAGAUGUUGAGCCUAGACUCAAUACUGGUGGGAAAAUGUGGUCAAUAGAUUUAUUUGGUUUUCUAAUAAGGUGGAAACAAGAUAUAGCUGCAUAACCACAGCUAGAUCGUGUGAUGAGUUGUUGGUUAUUCAUUUUUAUAUUUAGCGAGGGUAAUUCUUAUUCAGAGUGACUAAAACCAAUAACAAACUCCUAAAAAGCUACGCAGUACUGCUUCGUUGCAGUGGCGGUUCUAUCUUGUAUUGUUCCCUGGGCAAUUGUAUUGCUCCCCCAAUGUAAUUCUUGAACAAAUGUGGUGUUGUGUUGCAACAUGCACACAGGCUUGCGACUGUGAAAAAGUACUUGAUGCCUUGAACGGUAUACCUUAUUUUACUGUAUUGAAUAAGAUAAUACCCCCUUUAGUGGAUUCAAUCUGAUUCUCUUUGUAUUGACAGUUUGUUAGCUACAUGAAGCAGAAUGUUUUCCCAGACAUCAACACUUGCUAAUGCCGACGAUGGUUGAAUUACUGAUUAUAGUGUAAACAUGCUCUGACCAUCUUCAAUUCAACAUCUGAUGCCAAAGUCGUCCGUUGUGGCUCAGAUAGUUGUGGGUUCGAUUCCCACAGGUGACCAGUACGAAAAUCUUUCACUCACUCACUACUGUAAGUCUGUCACGGCAGAUUUCCUCCUCUUCCUCUGAAGAGGUGUAACAAGGAUUGGAACAAUAUGCGGCGUGGUAAGUGUCGAUGAUUUUUAAUGUGAAAAACUGAACAUGAACACAUAUGCAAAAUAACAACAUGAACUCGCAACAAAACAGUCCCGUGUGGCACAAAGACAGACACAGGAAACAAUCACCAACAAAAUACCCAAAGAAUAUGGCUGCCUAAAUAUGGUUCCCAAUCAGAGACAACGAUAGACAGCUGCCUCUAAUUGAGAACCAAUCUAGGCAACCAUAGACAUACAAUUUACCUAGACAGGUCUUGCCCCAUAAACAUACAAACCCCUAGACAAGCCAACACAUAAAUCACCCAUGUCACACCCUGGCCUAACCAAAAUAAUAAAGAAAACAAAGAUAACUAAGGCCAGGGAGUGACAAAGUCGCUCUGGAUAAGCUGCUAAAUUACUCAAAUAUGCUGCGCUCCCUCACUUUCUUCAAUUUAAGAAUGCACAGAGAAGGGAAAAAUAUUGGAGGAAAAUAAAUUAUGAUAAAUUCAAAAUAAAUUAUUGGCUAUUUAAUUACCACAGAAUUCCAUGGAAAACGAUAGAAUGACAAACCAAAUAAAUAUGUAUAGCAGCUUAGAAUUAACCAACUCGCUGAGUGGCUGCUGAACUUAAGUUACAAAAGAACGGUGCGUAUGUGAACACACUGGGUGCCAAGCUCUUUCCUGGUCCAACAAGCUCUGCGCUCCUGGGCCAAAUCCGAAAUAACAAUAACAGCCACAGACAUAAAACUCUAUGAGGUGUUUCCAAAACGUCUGUCAUCAAAACAGUUUGAUAUGGACUUGGGGCUGUAUUAUGCAAGAUCAAAUAGCAUAGGCUAUAGCAUAGUAGUAGUGGUGGGCCUAUGUUACAGUUACACCCCAACAAAAAUGUUUACAAGCUUUUAGGAUGCUCGCUGAGGCUGAAUAGUCACUUUUCUAAUGCGGUCAAAACUCAACAGCUGCGCCGCUAGGCGGGAUAUAGCCUAUUUGUAUUUAUUAUAGAUCCCCGUUAGCUACAGUGCAUUAUAAAGUAUUCAUACCCCUUGACUUUUCCAAAAUGUUGUUCGGUUACAGCCUUAUUCUGAAACUGAUUAAAUAGUUUUUUACUCUUCAAUUUACAGACAAUACUCCAUAUUGAAAAAGCAAAAACAGGUUUUUAGAAAUGUUUGCAAAUCUAUUAAAAAUACAAAAAUGAAAUAUUACAUUUACAUAAGUCUUCCAACCCUUUACUCAGUACUUUGUUGAAGCACCUUUGACAGCGAUUACAGCCUUGAGUCGUCUUGGGUAUGACGCUACAAGCUUGGCACACCUGUAUUUGGGGAGCUUCUCCCAUUCUUCUCUGCAAAUCCUCUUAAGUACUGUCAGGUUGGAUGGGGAGCGUUACUGCACAGCUAUUGUCAGGUCUCUCCAGAGAUGUCCGAUCGGGUUCAGGUCCGGGCUCUGGCUGGGCUACUCAAGGACAUGCUGCAGAAAUUUUUUGGAACUCUUCCCCAGAUCUGUGCCUCUGUCUCGGAGCUCUACAGAGAAUUCCUUCAACCUCAUGGCUUGGUUUUUGACUGUCAACUGUAUAUAUAUAUAUAUAUAUAUAUAUAUAUAUAUAUAUAGGUGUAUAUAUAGGUAUAUAUAGGUGUGUGUCUUUUCAUGUCCAAUCAAUUGAAUUUACCACAGGUGGACUCCAAUGAAGUUGUUGAAACAUCUCAAGGAUGAUCAAUGGAAACAGGAUGCAUCUGAGCUCAAUUCUCAAAUCUCACAGGACACAUUUUGAAUGCUUAUGUAAAUACAGUGGGGCAAAAAAGUAUUUAGUCAGCCACCAAUUGUGAAAGUUCUCCCACUUAACAAGAUGAGAGAGACCUGUAAUUUUCAUCAUAGGUACACUUCAACUAUGACAGACAAAAUGAGAAAAAAAAUCCAGAUAAUCACAUUGUAGGAAUUUUAAUGAAUUUAUUUGCAAAUUAUGGUGGAAAAUAAGUAUUUGGUCACCUACAAACAAGCAAGAUUUCUGGCUCUCACAGACCUGUAACUUCUAAUUAAAGAGGCUCCUCUGUCCUCCACUUGUUGCCUGUAUUAAUGGCACCUGUUUGAACUUGUAACCAGUAUAAAAGACACCUGUCCACAAACUGAAACAGUCACACUCCGAACUCCACUAUGGCCAAGACCAAAGAGCUGUCAAAGGACACCAGAAACAAAAUUGUUUGAAGAAAUCAACUGUGGGAGCAAUUAUUAGGAAAUGGAAGACAUACAAGACCACUGAUAAUCUCCCUCGAUCUGGGGCUCCACGCAAGAUCUCACCCCGUGGGGUCAAAAUGAUCACAAGAACGGUGAGCAAAAAUCCCAGAACCACACGGGGGGACUUAGUGAAUGACCUGCAGAGAGCUGGGACCAAAGUAACAAAGCCUACCAUCACACUACGCCGCCAGGGACUCAAAUCCUGCAGUGCCAGACGUGUCCUACCUGCUAAAGUCAGUACAUGUCCAGGCCCGUCUGAAGUUUGCUAGAGAGCAUUUGGAUGAUCCAGAAGAAGAUUGGGAGAAUGUCAUAUGGUCAGAUGAAACCAAAAUAUAACUUUUGGGUAAAAACUCAACCUCGUCGUGUUUGGAGGACAAAGAAUGCUGAGUUGCAUCCAAAGAACACCAUACCUACUGUGAAGCAUGGGGGUGGAAACAUCAAGCUUUGGGGCUGUUUUCUGCAAAGGGACCAGGACAAC